GACGAACGCUGGCAGCGUGCCUAAUACAUGCAAGUCGAGCGGACAGAAGGGAGCUUGCUCCCGGAAGUUAGCGGCGGACGGGUGAGUAACACGUGGGCAACCUACCCUGUAGAUCGGGAUAACAUCGAGAAAUCGGUGCUAAUACCGGAUAAUCAUUUGAAGUGCAUGCUUCGAAUGUAAAAGAUGGCUCCGGCUCUCACUCCGGGAUGGGCCCGCGGCGCAUUAGCUAGUUGGUAAGGUAAUGGCGUACCAAGGCAACGAUGCGUAGCCGACCUGAGAGGGUGAUCGGCCACACUGGGACUGAGACACGGCCCAGACUCCUACGGGAGGCAGCAGUAGGGAAUCUUCCGCAAUGGACGAAAGUCUGACGGAGCAACGCCGCGUGAGUGAUGAAGGUUUUCGGAUCGUAAAGCUCUGUUGUUAGGGAAGAACAAGUGCCGUUUGAAUAAGGCGGCACCUUGACGGUACCUAACCAGAAAGCCACGGCUAACUACGUGCCAGCCGCCGCGGUAAUAC
rnacentral:rRNA from 1 species